GAGGCCUCAGAAGUCCCUCCGGACCAGGGCAAGAAAGGGACAUUCCCUGAAUUGCCUCCCUUGCCCGGCUGCGUCCGUGUUACUUUUCUACAAGACCCGGGAUCCAGGAAGAAAUCAGGUGUCACCACCAAGAAGUCCAGUCAGCUGCCAGCAACCCCAGAGGGGUCUUCUACCAGAACGCAGCCCGGGAAAAAGAAAGAGGGAAAAUCCACUGCGAAAAGCAAAGCAAAGAAGAUGGGUCCUGCAAAGGCAGUGGAACCAAAGAGUUACACAGAAGAACACAGAGCAGUGAAAGUCCCCACUCAAGGAGGAGUGCCAGAAAAGGCACAAGCAAACCUCCAGAGCCAUAGUGGAGCCCCAUCCCCGGUGCAAACACCAAUAGCAUCUCUAUGGUGUCGGAGCUCUGAGACCAGCCUUCUCCAGGAGCCCAAUGACAAUAAGUCUGGACAGCAUCCACCGGGAUCCACGUCACAAAAACUGCUCAAGUUAAGGGGUGAGAUGUCCAGGCCAGUGCUGGAAAAGCCUCACAAGACAGCUUGGCUGACAUCUCACUCUGAGUCCAGCCUGCCUGAGGAGCACACCAGCAAAACCUCUGGUUUUGUGCCGCUGAUGCACAGGAGAACCAAGUCAUUGCCAUGUCAGCCAGCACAGAACGGAGAAGGGCUCCUCUGGCGUGGGAUGUCCUCUCCACACUGAUCAGGGCACGGGGAGCCCAGCAGAGCCAGAGCUCCACCUUAGGCUGCAGAACAGAGCUGCCUGGCCUGCUGGAAGUCCUAGUGGAGUAUUUCCAGCACUGCCUGAUGGAGAUCUUUGGAAUCCUGAAGGAAUAUGAGG